CGGGGUGAGUAACGCGUGAGUAACCUGCCUUCAAGAGGGGGAUAACAUUCUGAAAAGAAUGCUAAUACCGCAUGACAUAUCGGAACCACAUGGUUUUGAUAUCAAAGAUUUUAUCGCUUGAAGAUGGACUCGCGUCCGAUUAGUUAGUUGGUGAGGUAACGGCUCACCAAGACCGCGAUCGGUAGCCGGACUGAGAGGUUGAACGGCCACAUUGGGACUGAGACACGGCCCAGACUCCUACGGGAGGCAGCAUG
rnacentral:rRNA from 1 species